AGACUGAUGCAGGAAACUUGCUCACUCCACAUCUGCAUCUACCCCCAUUGCCUUGAUCUGUGCAUCCCAGAUGUUCUGCAGGACUGGGAACUGUACAGGACAACACACCAAAGGUCCAGCAGAAAUUCCUUGUGCUAACGCUGGCCCAGAGAACUCCUUGUUAAUACUGUAGCACAAACUAUGUAUCUAUCCAUGCAAGUGUGACAAGAAAGAGACUAGAGCAGCAAAACAAAAUAAAGUUUUAAAUGCUAUGAUAGCUGAAAAACA
rnacentral:lncRNA from 1 species